CCAGUCAGGAAACACUUUACAAAAAGAACAUGCGUGUUGUUCUGGACAGAAAUGACAAAGGUGUUGUAUCUGGGAAAAUUCAGUCGAUUCUCAUUCACAGCAAUUCCAAUGUUCAGUACAUGUUGUCACAAAGAAAUAACUUUCUUGUAAACCAGGGAGUUCACUGAUUGACAUCACAAAGUUUGGGUCACUUAUGCAUUAAUCAAAAUAAUCUGCCUGCCUGCCUUGUGUAGUCUGACUGUAAUGGUUCUUCGUCAUUCUUUUCCAUUACUAGAAUGAUGUCUGAGUUACAAAAAGAGAUUAAGCAAACCUUACUGUGAUAAUACCAAGCCUUCCUGACGAGCCACUCAAUCAGUCAGUUGAGAAAUGUGGAGGCUGAGGAGUAGAAGAUUUAAUGUACGUGAAAGAAGAGGACUUCUUAAGAACUGUUCAGCGCCUGGAAAGAUCGUGGUAUGUUGUGCACAUUGUUUGUUGUCACACUCUUGAACUGAUAUUUCAUUACAUUUUUCAGAACAAAGAAGCAGCAUUUUGGUUCAGUAAUUAGUUUGACCUGUAGGUCUCCUCAAAAGUCACCACAAAUGAGCUCCUCAGUAAGAAAAUGGAUGGACUCACGCUUCAAGCAGAUACAUUUGCCACUUCAGCAGAUGUCCAAGGAACACUCAACUUGCCUGACAGUCCUUGAAUUAUAAUUCUUGGUCAAACUCUAAGCAACCAGCAGUGGAUGGUGAGCAUUGAAGGUCACGUUGUAUGUGAGGGAACACAACUCAGCUUUGUCUGUGGCCGUACUGCUGUGUUUGCUUCAUGUGUGGACACUUUUUCUUUGGUGUUGUUUCUUGUGACUGAAGACAGAGAAAGCAAAAUUAAAGUUAGAAAUAUUCUUUAUUCAUACACACCAGGCAGAGGUUAAAUGACAGAGAAACACAGCCCUAGGAUCUGCACCGAGGGGCCCGUGUCCCCCAUUCAUAUAGGGCUUUAAGACUUUAGUUACAUAAGCAUUAUCAAAUAAUCUAAGAGUGGAGUACAUCUGUUGGGGCCUGAUGAGUCCACACCCGUUAGACGCCCAAGAAGUAGCACUUGUUUUCAUACACUGUAAGCAUGCGGGGUCUGCAGGACUCCUACCACACACCCCAUAGAACAUGCUUUCUGUCACGUACAUCAGAUUUGUCAAGCACAAGUUAUUGACCUGAAUUUUUUAUUUUUCCACACAUGUUAUAAUUUCAACCUCCAAUAUAGGAAGAAACUGCAAGCACCCUUGAUUUUGUUCAAAGGUAAAACAUUGGCUUAUUUUCCAUACAUACAUUUUCAUUAAAACUGACUUACACUUCCAUCAGACUUUAUUACACGCAGCCUGUAAAACGUUUGCACACUCCUCUUAGACACACAGUAAGCUUAUUCUCCUUCUCAUACCCUAUUAAAUUUUUGUGACACACUAUUACCCACCCUGACACACACCAUGAUAUUUUUUCUAUAAAUUAAAUUGGUUAAAAGUAAAUAUUGGCAAAUUCAGUUAUGUACUUGAAUCUCUUU